AACGAACGCUGGCGGCGUGGAUAAGACAUGCAAGUCGAGCGAGAUUUCCUUUGGUAGCAAUACUGAAGGAAGUCUAGCGGCGAACGGGUGCUUAACACGUGGGCAACCUGCCGAGAAGUGGGGGAUAGCUCGCCGAAAGGCGAAUUAAUACCGCAUGUGAUUAGAGAGGACAUCCUUUCGAAAUUAAAGUCGGGGCAACCUGACGCUUUUUGUGGGGCCCGCGGCCUAUCAGCUAGUUGGUGAGGUAACGGCUCACCAAGGCUUUGACGGGUAGCUGGUCUGAGAGGACGACCAGCCACACUGGGACUGAGACACGGCCCAGACACCUACGGGUGGCAGCAGUCGAGAAUUUUUCUCAAUGGGGGAAACCCUGAAGGAGCGACGCCGCAUGGAGGAUGAAGGUCUUCGGAUUGUAAACUCCUGUCAUUGGGGAACAAGUCGCUUACGUUAACUGCGUGAGCGUUGAUAGUACCCGAAGAGGAAGAGACGGCUAACUCUGUGCCAGCAGCCGCGGUAAUACAGAGGUCUCAAGCGUUGUUCGGAUUCAUUGGGCGUAAAGGGUGCGUAGGCGGCGCGGUAAGUCGGGUGUGAAAUCUCGGAGCUUAACUCCGAAACUGCAUUCGAUACUGCCGUGCUUGAGGACU
rnacentral:rRNA from 1 species